AAAGAACAGAAAAACGGAAACCUGCUGUUAUUUUUUUAAUGUGAAGUAACGUAUGUGGUGAACACAGCAUCCGUAAAGCUGAACAUGUUCUUCUGUUGAAAAUACUCCCUGGUGAUAUUAAUGAUCCUCUUUGUGGACUCUAAACUGACCCCCCAGAAGUCGUCUGCCACCGGCUACGUGCUGCGUUAAAUGGCAAAGAAUCACUUCUUCUGAUGAGUAAAUAAAAACAAAACAAAUGAGCAAUCUUUAUGAAUUUAUUGUGACUUAAAUGAUCAAUGCAUCAACUCUUUAUAUCUUCUGCCUGCUUUGCAUUCAUAUCUUUAUCAUAAUUAAGUACCUGGAUCAUUAACAACAAGCGUUGAACCACCAGCUCCCCAGUAACUGUCGAUGCAGGGAGAUCAUCAUUGUUUUAUGGGGAAUAACCAUCAAAAGUAAUCAUCCUAAGAAUUGUUGGCCUUCUCAUCAACAGGAUAUUUAUCAUUCUCCCUUUUAGGGGGGCUGUAGAAAUCUCCCUCCCUCCAGGUAAAUUUCUUUUCUUUCAGGCAAUUUAUCAGAUCUUUACACAUUUCCCUUUUAUAGUGGUCCCUCCUCUCAUCUGAGUACAAGGGAGAUGUUGGUUGUGCUCGCUCUUUGACGUCACCCUCCUUUUCGAACAAGUUGCUCAAACUUUCAACCUCGCCACAGUUGCCGUAGACCCACUCAUCAUUAGAGUUUGUCCACAAACCAAACAAAUUGCUACAUGAGAGGCACGGAGGAGUUUCUUCUUCCUGGCUGAGGCUAAACGCCUGGCACCUCACCCACUGUGGAAGCUGGAUGGUUCCAUCAUAAUCUGGUUUCUUUUGCCUGGUUGGAUAGUAGGUGAGCACUGCACCAGCUACAUACUCGUCCCAGUAGUAGAGACAGGACGCCGCGAUGACGAAUCGCCGAGGAAAGGGACCUCUUCUUAGGAGCACUAAGGGCUGAGGAUUGAAACUGGGAGCGGCGAUGGAGACUCCGUAGUACUUGACUGGAUCUCUGAUGUCGGUUCUGUGUGAGACGCAGAGGGUGGAGGAGAUCAGCUCCCUUGAGUCACCGAGCUCCAGGCCAAUGAUGAGCUCUCGUAGGCCACUGAGUAUUUCUUCUUCUUCUUCUCGUCCUUUCAGGAGGACAAUCUGCAAGCAAUCACAAAUUUACUGAGUCAUGCUUUAAUUGUGAAAUGCAACAAUGUAGAGUCAUUAUAGCCUCUAACAUAUUCUAUGCAUCUUUAAAAAUAAGAAUUUAAUCAUCUUUUUGAAAAACUAUGAUCCUACCAUGUCCAGGACACAUGAAAAUGGACUCCGUCUGGCAGGAUCCUUUCUGGAGAAAACGUUGGCUCGUUGACUUUCCCCAAAAAGAAGAUGCUGUGAAGCAUCUGUGGAGUCACAACACAUUCAAAGAGGUGUCAUUUUUGUUUAUUAAAACACAAUAUUUAUGCGUUUAAACCGUACAUUUCAAAAAGAGUCCUCAGACAUACCUCAUCCAGCAGAUGUGUGGUAUCAUCAGGAUCUUCG
ensembl:lncRNA